rnacentral:rRNA from 1 species
UUCGGAGGAUCAUUACUGUUGAACGUCUCGGCCAGUCGUGUCCCGCAUUGGGGCCUUCUGCGCCAGCGUUUAGCACCCUUGAUUUUGAGCACCUUUUGUUUCCUCGGCGGGUUCGCCCGCCAGCGAGGACCCCCAUGAACUCUUUGUAAUAGCAAUUUUUGUCUGAAAUACAAACAAUAAUCAAAACUUUCAACAAUGGAUCUCUUGGUUCUGGCAUCGAUGAAGAACGCAGCGAAAUGCGAUAAGUAGUGUGAAUUGCAGAAUUCAGUGAAUCAUCGAAUCUUUGAACGCACAUUGCGCCCCUCGGUAUUCCGUGGGGCAUGCCUGUUCGAGCGUCAUUUAAACCCUCAAGCUCAGCUUGGUGUUGGGUGCUUGUCCCGCCUCCGCGCGGCGACUCACCUCAAAGUCAGUGGCAGCCCGCAUCAGCCGGCCGUGAGCGCAGCACAGUCGCGCCCUAGGCCCCGGCAGGUCGGCUCUCCAGAAGCACAUCUUCUUAUUUUGACCUCGGAUCAGGUAGGGAUACCCGCUGAACUUAAGCAUAUCAAUAAGCGGAGGAAAAGAAACCAACAGGGAUUGCCUCAGUAACGGCGAGUGAAGCGGCAACAGCUCAAAUUUGAAAUCUGGCUCUUUCAGGGUCCGAGUUGUAAUUUGUAGAGGGUGCUUUGGUGUUGGCCGUGGUCUAAGUUCCUUGGAACAGGACGUCACAGAGGGUGAGAAUCCCGUACGUGGCCGCCGGUCUUCACCGUGUAAAGCCCCUUCGACGAGUCGAGUUGUUUGGGAAUGCAGCUCUAAAUGGGAGAUAAAUUUCUUCUAAAGCUAAAUAUUGGCCAGAGACCGAUAGCGCACAAGUAGAGUGAUCGAAAGAUGAAAAGCACUUUGGAAAGAGAGUCAAAAAGCACGUGAAAUUGUUGAAAGGGAAGCGCUUGCAGCCAGACGUGCCCGCAGUUGCUCACCUGGGCUCUCGCCCGGGGCAUUCUUCUGCGGGCAGGCCAGCAUCAGUUCGGGCGGUUGGAUAAAGGCCUCUAUCACGUAUCUUCCUUCGGGAUGACCUUAUAGGGGAGGCGCAACACGGCCAGCCUGAACUGAGGACCGCGC